rnacentral:rRNA from 1 species
GAGUCUUAAUUGGGCGUUAAGUUGCAGGGUAUAGACCCGAAACCCGGUGAUCUAGCCAUGGGCAGGUUGAAGGUUGGGUAACACUAACUGGAGGACCGAACCGACUAAUGUUGAAAAAUUAGCGGAUGACCUGUGGCUGGGGGUGAAAGGCCAAUCAAACCGGGAGAUAGCUGGUUCUCCCCGAAAGCUAUUUAGGUAGCGCCUCGUGAAUUCAUCUCCGGGGGUAGAGCACUGUUUCGGCUAGGGGGCCAUCCCGGCUUACCAACCCGAUGCAAACUGCGAAUACCGGAGAAUGUUAUCACGGGAGACACACGGCGGGUGCUAACGUCCGUCGUGAAGAGGGAAACAACCCAGACCGCCAGCUAAGGUCCCAAAGUCAUGGUUAAGUGGGAAACGAUGUGGGAAGGCCCAGACAGCCAGGAUGUUGGCUUAGAAGCAGCCAUCAUUUAAAGAAAGCGUAAUAGCUCACUGGUCGAGUCGGCCUGCGCGGAAGAUGUAACGGGGCUAAACCAUGCACCGAAGCUGCGGCAGCGAACGUAUCACCCAAGACAACUUUACGGAGUUGACGAUUGACGGAGCGAAGCGACGUCAAAGCGUUCAUUAAAGUCGAGUUGGCUUAGGGAUACGUUCGUUGGGUAGGGGAGCGUUCUGUAAGCCUGUGAAGGUGUGUCGUGAGGCAUGCUGGAGGUAUCAGAAGUGCGAAUGCUGACAUAAGUAACGAUAAAGCGGGUGAAAAGCCCGCUCGCCGGAAGACCAAGGGUUCCUGUCCAACGUUAAUCGGGGCAGGGUGAGUCGACCCCUAAGGCGAGGCCGAAAGGCGUAGUCGAUGGGAAACGGGUUAAUAUUCCCGUACUUGGUGUUACUGCGAAGGGGGGACGGAGAAGGCUAUGUUGGCCGGGCGACGGUUGUCCCGGUUUAAGCGUGUAGGUGUGUGUUCCAGGUAAAUCCGGUUCACUUUAACACUGAGGCGUGACGACGAGGCACUACGGUGCUGAAGCAACAAAUGCCCUGCUUCCAGGAAAA